rnacentral:rRNA from 1 species
CCUACGGGUGGCAGCAGUGAGGAAUAUUGGUCAAUGGCCGAGAGGCUGAACCAGCCAAGUCGCGUGAGGGAAGACGGCCCUACGGGUUGUAAACCUCUUUUGUCGGGGAGCAAAGAGAGUCACGUGUGACUCAUUGAGAGUACCCGAAGAAAAAGCAUCGGCUAACUCCGUGCCAGCAGCCGCGGUAAUACGGAGGAUGCGAGCGUUAUCCGGAUUUAUUGGGUUUAAAGGGUGCGCAGGGGGCGGUGCAAGUCAGCGGUCAAAUUGCGGGGCUCAACCCCGUACUACCGUUGAAACUGCAGCCCUUGAGUGCGCGAGAAGUAAGCGGAAUGCGUGGUGUAGCGGUGAAAUGCAUAGAUGUCACGAAGAACUCCGAUGGCGAAGGCAGCAUACCGGCGCGCAACUGACGCUCAUGCACGAAAGCGUGGGUAUCGAACAGGAUUAGAUACCCGAGUAGUC